rnacentral:tRNA from 1 species
GCUUCUAUGGUGGAAUUGGUAGACACGGAAGACUCAAAAUCUUUUGCCUUUUGGUAUGCUGGUUCAAUUCCGGCUAGAAGUA